GAUGAACGCUAGCUACAGGCUUAACACAUGCAAGUCGAGGGGAAACGAUAUUGGAAGCUUGCUUCCGAUAGGCGUCGACCGGCGCACGGGUGAGUAACGCGUAUCCAACCUGCCCAUCACUUGGGGAUAACCUUGCGAAAGUAAGACUAAUACCCAAUGACGUCUCUAGAAGACAUCUGAAGGAGAUUAAAGAUUUAUCGGUGAUGGAUGGGGAUGCGUCUGAUUAGCUUGUUGGCGGGGUAACGGCCCACCAAGGCGACGAUCAGUAGGGGUUCUGAGAGGAAGGUCCCCCANAUUGGAACUGAGACACGGUCCAAACUCCUACGGGAGGCAGCAGUGAGGAAUAUUGGUCAAUGGGCGAGAGCCUGAACCAGCCAAGUAGCGUGCAGGAUGACGGCCCCAUGGGUUGUAAACUUCUUUUAUACGGGAAUAAAGUAUCCUACGUGUAGGAUUUUGUAUGUACCGUAUGAAUAGCAUCGGCUAACUCCGUGCCAGCAGCCG
rnacentral:rRNA from 1 species